rnacentral:misc_RNA from 1 species
CUGAUACUGCUUUGGUGGGAUAGAAAUUUGGUACAUUUGGGGUGAGCUUUAGUGGGAUUGAAAUUUUUUACAUUUGGGGUAAGUUUCAUCACUUGUGCAAUUUUAUACUCUAGCCACUAAGCAUCUGUCAUUGUCAUCGCAUAAAGAGGAUAUCGUUCCUGAAUUACUGAUAUUUGUGUUUUUUGUUUUAAUUACUUUUUUUGGUUGAUGUAGUAGUUGUUUCCUAUCUCUCUUCUUCUGCUUCUUGUUGGGAACUUGCUGACGCGAAAUAAUUACAGGUACCAUUAUGACAAUAUCUAAG